rnacentral:rRNA from 1 species
ACGGGUGAGUAACGCGUAAAGAACUUGCCCUUUAGACUGGGAUAACAGAGGGAAACUUCUGAUAAUACUGGAUAAGUUAGUAUAUCGCAUGAUAUGCAAAUGAAAGCUACGGCACUAAAGGAGAGCUUUGCGUCCUAUUAGCUAGUUGGUAAGGUAAGAGCUUACCAAGGCGAUGAUAGGUAGCCGGCCUGAGAGGGUGGACGGCCACAAGGGGACUGAGAUACGGCCCUUACUCCUAUGGGAGGCAGCAGCC